rnacentral:rRNA from 1 species
AGAGUUUGAUCCAGGCUCAGAGCGAACGCUGGCGGCAGGCCUAACACAUGCAAGUCGAGCGGCCGUAGCAAUACGGCAGCGGCAGACGGGAGAGUAACACGUGGGAACGUACCCUUUGGUUCGGAAUAACCCAGGGAAACUUGGGCUAAUACCGGAUAAGUCCGUAAGGAGAAAGAUUUAUCGCCAAAGGAUCGGCCCGC